CUGCUCCAGCGGAACAUUCCAGAAACAGAAAUGGGCAAACAAGCGAAGGAGAAGGGGGGAAAUCAAUCGUGAUCUGAGUGCUGAGCAUGAGGCUGCCCCGUAUGACAAAGAGACAGAAGAAGCACGCAGCAAUCUGAACUGCGUGAUGCUAGAUGAAUCAUACAUGAAACAGGGAGCAGUCCGGUGGCGAAACGGAUGUUUGACAGAGGAGGAGAAGAGGGGCCGUUUCCUGCAGCACCUGUGUUUUUACUGCGGAGCUGCAGACCACCUUCAUGUCUUUCGUCCGGUGCGGCCAUCCAGUGGAUCCUGACAGCCCAAUCUACUGCAACACACAUCCAUGUCGGACUCCCGUCCGGACGCUACAAACAUAUCUGAUGCUGAGAUGAUGGGAACCAGGGUGAGACCAGCCUUGGUCAGGAAUGAUGGAGCAUCAGGUAAUAUGAUCGACAAAUCAUGGAAUUGAAAGAAUGAGAACUAUGAUUUUAAAGCAGAAGGAUAUAAGUUCAAAUCCCG
rnacentral:lncRNA from 1 species